ACGCGAAGGUUCCUAUCGGUCGAUGGGUUGUGGGUGUAUUGCUCAGUGACGGCUUCGUUUAGUUUCUUCCAGCACCCAUAAUUCAAAGCAAGAACAACGACAUUAAGGGUCCUGUGAUAUAGGGAGAAAAGGUCCUUUUGUGAAGCAGAAGGCAAUCCACCUCAUUAGUAAAUCCCAUUAAUUUUACCUUCAGAAUAUAUCCAGAUUCUUCCCAAUUCUACCGCCACCAUUCUGGUUCAUGCUACUUGAUAAAACAUGCACAGAGCAAAUUUCGAUUGUAUCUUAUAAAUGAUAACCAUAUUCAGGAUACUGGUUAUACCUGAGGACACAUCUCCAUGAAAGUUAAGCAUAUACAGGAUCUCACUUUGUUACCCAGGCUAGAGGGUUACCAUAGCUCACUGCAGCCUCAACCUCCUGGGCUCACUUAAGCAAUCCUCUCACUUCGGCCUCCUGAGUAGCUGGGCCUACAGGCAGGUACCAGCACGCCCAGCAAGUUAUUCUUAUUUUUUGUGAAGACAGAGUCUUGCAGUAUUGCCCAAGCUGGUCCUGGCCUCAAGCAAUCCUCCCAUCUAGGCCUCCCGAAGUGCGAGGACUACAGGCAUGAGCCACUGUGCCAAGCAACACUUGUAGUUUUUAAGUGAAAAUGAUCCUGUAAAUAUAUAUAUUAAUAAAAUCUAGAAGGCUAUA